rnacentral:rRNA from 1 species
AUUGAACGCUGGCGGCAGGCCUAACACAUGCAAGUCGAACGAGUGGCGGACGGGUGAGUAAUGUCUGGGAAACUGCCUGAUGGAGGGGGAUAACUACUGGAAACGGUAGCUAAUACCGCAUACCAUCAGAUGUGCCCAGAUGGGAUUAGCUUGUGGGUGGGGUAACGGCUCACCAAGGCCACGAUCCGUAGCUGGUCUGAGAGGAUGACCAGACACACGGGAACUGAGACAAGGUCCAGACUCCUACGGGAGGAGGCAGUGGGGAAUAUUGCACAAUGGGCGAAAGCCUGAUGAAGCAAGGCCGCGUGUAUGAAGAAGGCCUACGGGUUGUAAAGUACUUUCAGCGGGGAGGCGUUACCCGCAGAAGAAGCACCGGCUAACUCCGUGCCAGCAGCCGCGGUAAUUC